rnacentral:rRNA from 1 species
UACGUAGGGCGCAAGCGUUGUCCGGAAUUAUUGGGCGUAAAGAGCUCGUAGGCGGUUUGUCGCGUCUGCUGUGAAAGCCCGGGGCUCAACCCCGGGUCUGCAGUGGGUACGGGCAGACUGGAGUGCAGUAGGGGAGACUGGAAUUCCUGGUGUAGCGGUGAAAUGCGCAGAUAUCAGGAGGAACACCGAUGGCGAAGGCAGGUCUCUGGGCUGUAACUGACGCUGAGGAGCGAAAGCAUGGGGAGCGAACAGG